rnacentral:rRNA from 1 species
AUUGAACGCUGGCGGCAGGCCUAACACAUGCAAGUCGAGCGAGCGGCGGACGGGUGAGUAAUGCCUGGGAAUUGCCCAGUCGAGGGGGAUAACAGUUGGAAACGACUGCUAAUACCGCAAACGCUUGGUUUGCCCAUGUGGGAUUGGCUUGUUGGUGAGGUAAUGGCUCACCAAGGCGACGCUCACUAGCUGGUCUGAGAGGAUGAUCAGCCACACGGGAACUGAGACACGGUCCAGACUCCUACGGGAGGCAGAAUGGGGGAAUAUUGCACAAUGGGGGAAACCCUGAUACAGCCAUGCCGCGUGUGUGAAGAAGGCCUUCGGAUUGUAAAGCACUUUCAGCGAGGAGGCGUUACUCACAGAAGAAGCACCGGCUAACUCCGUGCCAGCAGCCGCGGUAAUUC